rnacentral:rRNA from 1 species
GAUGACGCUGACAGAAUGCUUAACACAUGCAAGUCAACUUGAAUUUGGGUUUUUAACUUAGGUUUGGGUGGCGGACGGGUGAGUAACGCGUAAAGAACUUGCCUCACAGCUAGGGACAACAUUUGGAAACGAAUGCUAAUACCUAAUAUUAUGAUAAUAGGGCAUCCUAUAAUUAUGAAAGCUAUAAGCGCUGUGAGAGAGCUUUGCGUCCCAUUAGCUAGUUGGAGAGGUAACGGCUCACCAAGGCGAUGAUGGGUAGCCGGCCUGAGAGGGUGAUCGGCCACAAGGGGACUGAGACACGGCCCUUACUCCUACGGGAGGCAGCAGUGGGGAAUAUUGGACAAUGGACCGAGAGUCUGAUCCAGCAAUUCUGUGUGCACGAUGAAGUUUUUCGGAAUGUAAAGUGCUUUCAGUUGGGAAGAAAAAAAUGACGGUACCAACAGAAGAAGUGACGGCUAAAUACGUGCCAGCAGCCGCGGCAAUACGUAUGUCACGAGCGUUAUCCGGAUUUAUUGGGCGUAAAGCGCGUCUAGGUGGUUAUAUAAGUCUGAUGUGAAAAUGCAGGGCUCAACUCUGUAUUGCGUUGGAAACUGUAUAACUAGAGUACUGGAGAGGUAAGCGGAACUACAAGUGUAGAGGUGAAAUUCGUAGAUAUGUGCAGGAAUGCCGAUGAUGAAGAUAGUCCACUGGACGGAAACUGACGCUGAAGUGCGAAAGCCGGGGGAGCGAACAGG